UAUUUACUCCCUCCGUCCGGAAAUACUCGUCGUACAAAUAGUUGUAUCUAUUUGUAUUUUAGUUCUGGAUACAUCCAUGUGUAUCCAUUUUUAUGACAAGUAAUUUCGGACGGAGGGGUAUGUG
rfam:Hordeum vulgare subsp. vulgare, WGS project CAJW01000000 data, contig: morex_contig_1559922